UGUUUCCACGAGCGCAUCAAUGUUGUGGUGCUAGGACAUUAUCCCCAUUUGUGGGCAUGUUUGAGGCAGGUGCCAGCAGAGUACCAACAUUUCUGGUUCGAGUCUAUUAAGAUGAUCUACUGGUGGAAUUGUAACGAUGAGUCCAUGUUUUGGGUCUUCUACAUGUGGGCCGACAAAUAUAUCCGGAACAUCGCCUGAGCAAGCCUGGCCAAGCUACUUUGGUUGGCCAAUGAGGUGCUCCAACUCCAAGCGUACUAGGCCAGCGCUGACUUCCAAGAGGAGUCCAUGAAAAAUAAGGCGAACUGGGCAGCGAAUCCCAUGGCGUCCUCUAGUGUGUACCGCGGGGGAUCCUCCCCUGUCGGUAUGCACAAGAGGAAGAUGAGCUUGUUCGGCCACCCAAGCAGAUGAACUUUUUGUUAGAUGCUACAAGAAGAAGGCAGAUGGCGGUUGGAGCGGGCAUAAAGCGGGUGAGGCGAGUCAUUUUUUUUUUAAAUUAAGUUUUAAUAAUUCUGUUUGUUUUGCAGAAGACGUUUGAAAAACUGAUGGAGGAUCAUCAGACUUAGACCACGACCGAGGACCAGGAUACUCGACCGGCCGAAUUGAAGACUUCGAUGGCGAUGACCGAGCAUCAGAUGU